UUGGAGGGCAAGUCUGGUGCCAGCAGCCGCGGUAAUUCCAGCUCCAAUAGCGUAUAUUAAAGUUGUUGCAGUUAAAAAGCUCGUAGUUGAAUUUCGGGGUCAGUAGGUUGGUCGUGCCUAUGGUAUGUACUGGCUUUACUGAUUCCUCCUUCUUGAAGAACUGUAAUGUCAUUAAUUUGGUGCUGCAGGGAAACAGGACUGUUACUUUGAAAAAAUUAGAGUGUUUAAAGCGGGCUAACGCUUGAAUACAUUAGCAUGGAAUAAUGAAAUAGGACGUUCGAUCCUAUUUUGUUGGUUUCUAGGAUUGACGUAAUGAUUAAUAGGGAUAGUUGGGGGCAUUAGUAUUCAAUUGUCAGAGGUGAAAUUCUUGGAUUUAUUGAAGACUAACUAUUGCGAAAGCAUUUGCCAAGGAUGUUUUCAUUAAUCAAGAACGAAAGUUAGGGGAUCGAAGACGAUCAGAUACCGUCGUAGUCUUAACCAUAAACUAUGCCGACUAGGAAUCGGGCGACGUUAUUUUCACGACUCGUUCGGCGCCUUACGGGAAAC
rnacentral:rRNA from 1 species